rnacentral:rRNA from 1 species
AGAAUCAACGCUGGCGGCGUGCCUAACACAUGCAAGUCGAACGAGAAAGUGGAGCAAUCCACGAGUAAAGUGGCGCACGGGUGAGUAACACGUGACUAACCUACCCUUGAGUGGGGGAUAACCUAGGGAAACCUGGGCUAAUACCGCAUAAUACCUACGGGUCAAAGGAGCAAUUCGCUUAAGCGAGGGGGUCGCGGCGAUUAGUUAGUUGGCGGGGUAAUGGCCCACAAGACGAUGAUCGGUAU